UCGUACUUGCUUGGUCCGUCAUUGUGUUGAAUUGUUUUAUCUGUUUGAAUUUGCAAAAUUGUAGAAAUCAAAUUAUAUGGCAGCCUCCUCCUGUUUUCUUUCUUUUUCUCAUUUAUUUCUUUGUUUAAAUUGAGGUGGUUAAAACAUGGCAGUUUUUGUUGUUUUUACAGCUUGUUUUGAGUACUGGAAGCGGUGUUAAUGGUUUCACUCUAGAUCCAUCUCUUGGAGUGUAUAUUUUAACUCAUCCAGACAUCAAGGGAUCGAGUCGAUUGGAAGAAAGUCAACACGGCCUUAAUUAAGGUUUGUAAUGCAUGAUCUAAAGGGAGCUAAGUGGCCAGAUUAGAGAAAUUUGUUAGACUAGCUCUCUAGCCUUUUGUCUUUAUUUGUUAAUAUUAGUUUUAAUUUGUUAGACUAGCUAGCUAGGUGUUUAAAAAUUGUAAACGUACGUACUAUACGCUUUUCUCUAUUGGGUUAAUAUAAAUGAAGUUAAUUUAAUGAUUUAUUAAUAAAAAAUAA